GGAAAGAAUACUGGAGUGGGUUGCCAUUCCCUUCUCCAGGGGAUCUGAUCUUCCUGACCCAGGGAUCAAACUCGGGUCUCCCACAUUGCAGGCAAAUUCUUUACCAUCUGAGCCAUCAGAGAAGCUACCAGGUGUCAUCUGAAUAUCUGAGGUUAUUGAUAUUUCCCCUGGCAAUCUUGAUUCCAGCUUGUGCUUCAUCCAGCCUGGCAUUUUGCAUAAUGUACUCUGCAUAGAAGUUAAAUAAGCAGUGUGACAAUAUAUAGUCUUGAUGUACUCCUUUCCCAAUUUGGAACCAGUUCGUUGCUCUAUACCUGGCUCUAAUUUUUGCUUCUUGACCUGCAUACAGAUUUCUCAGAAGGCAGGAGUUUGAAGAUGGGACGUGUAACCGGAUAGGUCUCAGACCAAGGUCAUGACCUCCACUCCUAGGGACUCAGAUCACUGAACUCAUUUGGCCUGGUAGCACCCUAGUGAAAUCAAAGACGCUGAGCAUACCACUAUAAUCCCCACCCUCUAGCAGAGUAUGGAUGCUUAACUGAUGCUCAAUUAUUUAUAAACAGUGAAGGAAUACAGUCAGUUUUGUUGGCCUCUAACUGCUAGGGAUAAAUUUCUUCUCAGACUUUCCAGAAAACCUCAUGCUUGGACUAAGAUCAAGAAAAGAAAACUCCAUGCUUUUCUCCAGACUUUUCUUCCAAGCUCCUUGUUAAGCCCUUGGACCCCUGCCAGAAGGGAGAUGAUGGUUGCAAAAGCAAAGACUGGCAUUUGGAGAAGCUCUCUGGGAUGUCGAAGCUGCACACUGCCCCUCCUCCUGCCUUCCAAUUUCUGUGUAUGAAAGUGACUUUUGAAAAUCCAGAUUUGAUCAUGUUACACACAAACUCCCACAGGUCUACACCGUCUGGCUCCUGUGUGUUUCAUCUAGGCAUGUGAAGAAGAGGCAAGAUAUGAAGAGCUAAUAAUUUCCAGUGGUCAUGUAUGGAUAUGAGAGUUGGACUGUGAAGGAAGCUGAGUGCUGAAGAAUUGAUGUUUUUGAACUGUGGUGUUGGAGAAGACUCUUGAGAGUCCCUUGGACUGCAAGGAGAUCCAACCAGUCCAUUCUGAAGGAGAUCAGCCCUAGGAUUUCUUUGGAAGGAAUGAUGCUAAAGCUGAAACUUCAGUACUUUGGCCACCUCAUGUGAAGAGUUGACUUAUUGGAAAAGACUCUGAUGCUGGGAGGGUUUGGGGGCAGGAGGAGAAGGGGACGACAGAGGAUGAGAUGGCUGGAUGGCAUCACGGACUCGAUGGACGUGAGUCUGAGUGAACUCCGGGAGAUGGUGAUGGACAGGGAGGCCUGGUGUGCUGCGAUUCAUGGGGUUGCAAAGAGUCGGACACGACUGAGCGACUGAACUGAACAGCUAAUUGAUUUCUAAAAUCACAGUUCAUAGUCCUUUUCUCUUGGAAGUCUAUAAUGAACUCAGAUUCUUAGGGCCCUAUUCUCCAUGAAAAUCACCCCUGACACAUUACAAAGUUGAGACCGCUUAUUAAAAACAUAGUUUACACAUUUACAUAAACAUUCUGAGGAAAAAUGAUAAGGAUAUGGAAGAAUGAGAAAGUACGAAGAAAGAAUCUUGGCUCCAGGGCUGGAAGUUAUGGGAGAUGAGAUCAUUAGGAUAAAGUUCAGCUUGAUGGGAUACAGUCAGUCAUUUUAAUGUUCACUGUAUGGUGGCACCUGGAACAAGCUAUCAGGUGAUUUUAAUCAUUUGUUAAAAAUUGAAACAAAAU
ensembl:lncRNA